rnacentral:rRNA from 1 species
UGAACGCUGGCGGCGUGCUUAACACAUGCAAGUCGAACGAGAAAGGGAUUGCUUGCAGUCCUGAGUAGAGUGGCGCACGGGUGAGUAACACGUAGAUAAUCUACCUUCAAGCCUGGAAUAACUAUUCGAAAGGAUAGCUAAUACCGGAUGAAGUUGUUCAACUCAAGUUGAAUUAUGAAAGAUUGCCUCUUCUUGAAAGCAAUUGUUUGGAGAUGAGUUUGCGGACCAUUAGUUUGUUGGUGGGGUAAAGGCCUACCAAGACUACGAUGGUUAGCUGGUCUGAGAGGAUGAUCAGCCACACUGGAACUGGUACACGGUCCAGACUCCUACGGGAGGCAGCAGUGAGGAAUUUUGCGCAAUGGGGGAAACCCUGACGCAGCAACGCCGCGUGAGUGAAGAAGGCCCUUGGGUCGUAAAGCUCUGUCGACAGGGAAGAAAUUGUUUCAUAUUAAUAGUAUGUCGCAUUGACGGUACCUGUAGAGGAAGCACCGGCUAACUCC